rnacentral:rRNA from 1 species
AACGAACGCUGGCGGCAUGCCUAACACAUGCAAGUCGAACGAGACCUUCGGGUCUAGUGGCGCACGGGUGCGUAACGCGUGGGAACCUGCCCUUAGGUUCGGAAUAACUCCCCGAAAGGGGUGCUAAUACCGGAUAAUGUCUUCGGACCAAAGAUUUAUCGCCUUUGGAUGGGCCCGCGUUGGAUUAGCUAGUUGGUAGGGUAAAAGCCUACCAAGGCGACGAUCCAUAGCUGGUCUGAGAGGAUGAUCCGCCACACUGGGACUGAGACACGGCCCAGACUCCGACGGGAGGCAGCAGUGGGGAAUAUUGGACAAUGGGCGAAAGCCUGAUCCAGCAAUGCCGCGUGAGUGAUGAAGGCCUUAGGGUUGUAAAGCUCUUUUACCCGGGAUGAUAAUGACAGUACCGGGAGAAUAAGCUCCGGCUAACUCCGUG